ensembl:lncRNA
GUCAUCCUCAGAACGACCGGCUGAAACAGAGCUUUUCUCUUCAGAAGCGCGUCGUUACAACAAAAACAGCGCAAGCAGAUGGAACGAGCAAAAUGUGGUGCAGAGAGUGCUGUCCAGUGUUCUGUCCAGUGUUCACUCCAGAUUUAUGUCCAUCAUGGAGUUCCGAAAAAAAUUCUCAAUGCAGCCUGUUCAGCAUGAGCAAGAGGAGUUGAAGGAUAAGUCUCCACCUCAUCCAUUGGUGCCACUCGGCGCUCUGACUGGGGUCCUGACCAUACACAUACGAAGCUGCAGAGACUUCAUGAAAACCAGUAUCCUUAGAGUUUAUUCCAGUCUAUGUGUUGUCUGUGGGUUUGUGCUGAUUCUGUCUGCAUGGAUCAAUUGUGCUGGUUCUGGUUUGGCAGUUUUCCUGAGCCCUGCACCAGCUCAUAUACAGAAAGGCACUCUAUGUGUUGUGAGGAUCACUGUGGGGAGAAUGGUGAAGAGCUCCCUGCUGCUCCCUUCGAAGACAUCAUCGCUUUCAAUGAAGUGA